CGCGCAGGCGGUCGUGCAAGUCGCGUGUGAAAGCCCCCGGCUCAACUGGGGAGGGUCACGCGAUACUGCUCGACUCGAAGGCAGGAGAGGGAAGUGGAAUUCCCGGUGUAGUGGUGAAAUGCGUAGAUAUCGGGAGGAACACCAGUGGCGAAGGCGACUUCCUGGCCUGUUCUUGACGCUGAGGCGCGAAAGCUAGGGUAGCAAACG
rnacentral:rRNA from 1 species